rnacentral:rRNA from 1 species
GCCAGACUCCUACGGGAGGCAGCAGUGGGGGAUAUUGCACAAUGGGGGGAACCCUGAUGCAGCGACGCCGCGUGGGUGAAGGAGCGUUUCGGCGCGUAAAGCCCUAUCGGCAGGGAAGAAGGAGGACGGUACCUGACUAAGAAGCCCCGGCUAACUACGUGCCAGCAGCCGCGGUAAUACGUAGGGGGCAAGCGUUAUCCGGAUUUACUGGGUGUAAAGGGGGCGCAGACGGCGAUGCAAGCCAGGAGUGAAAGCCCGGGGCCCAACCCCGGGACUGCUCUUGGAACUGCGUGGCUGGAGUGCAGGAGGGGCAGGCGGAAUUCCUGGUGUAGCGGUGAAAUGCGUAGAUAUCAGGAGGAACACCGGUGGCGAAGGCGGCCUGCUGGACUGCAACUGACGUUGAGGCCCGAAAGCGUGGGGAGCAAACAGGAUUAGAUACCCCUGUAC